rnacentral:rRNA from 1 species
GUGAGGAAUAUUGGUCAAUGGACGGAAGUCUGAACCAGCCAAGUAGCGUGCAGGAAGACGGCCCUAUGGGUUGUAAACUGCUUUUAUACGGGGAUAAAGUGAGCCACGUGUGGCUUAUUGCAGGUACCGUAUGAAUAAGGACCGGCUAAUUCCGUGCCAGCAGCCGCGGUAAUACGGAAGGUCCGGGCGUUAUCCGGAUUUAUUGGGUUUAAAGGGAGCGUAGGCCGUUUGUUAAGCGUGUUGUGAAAUGUCGGGGCUCAACCUGGGCAUUGCAGCGCGAACUGGCAGACUUGAGUGCGCGGGAAGUAGGCGGAAUUCGUCGUGUAGCGGUGAAAUGCUUAGAUAUGACGAAGAACUCCGAUUGCGAAGGCAGCCUGCUGUAGCGUAACUGACGCUGAAGCUCGAAAGCGUGGGUAUCGAACAGGAUUAGAAACCCUAGUAGUCC